rnacentral:rRNA from 1 species
UUAACGCUGAGGUGUGAUGACGAGGCACUACGGUGCUGAAGUAACAAAUGCCCUGCUUCCAGGAAAAGCCUCUAAGCAUCAGGUAACAUCAAAUCGUACCCCAAACCGACACAGGUGGUCAGGUAGAGAAUACCAAGGCGCUUGAGAGAACUCGGGUGAAGGAACUAGGCAAAAUGGUGCCGUAACUUCGGGAGAAGGCACGCUGAUGGUAAGUGAAGCGACUUGCUCGUGGAGCUGAAAUCAGUCGAAGAUACCAGCUGGCUGCAACUGUUUAUUAAAAACACAGCACUGUGCAAACACGAAAGUGGACGUAUACGGUGUGACGCCUGCCCGGUGCCGGAAGGUUAAUUGAUGGGGUUAGCGGCAACGCGAAGCUCUUGAUCGAAGCCCCGGUAAACGGCGGCCGUAACUAUAACGGUCCUAAGGUAGCGAAAUUCCUUGUCGGGUAAGUUCCGACCUGCACGAAUGGCGUAAUGAUGGCCAGGCUGUCUCCACCCGAGACUCAGUGAAAUUGAACUCGCUGUGAAGAUGCAGUGUACCCGCGGCAAGACGGAAAGACCCCGUGAACCUUUACUAUAGCUUGACACUGAACACUGGUCCUUGAUGUGUAGGAUAGGUGGGAGGCUUUGAAGCGUGGACGCCAGUCUGCGUGGAGCCAACCUUGAAAUACCACCCUUUAAUGGCUGGUGUUCUAACGUAGACCCGUAAUCCGGGUUGCGGACAGUGUCUGGUGGGUAGUUUGACUGGGGCGGUCUCCUCCUAAAGAGUAACGGAGGAGCACGAAGGUUAGCUAAUCCUGGUCGGACAUCAGGAGGUUAGUGCAAUGGCAUAAGCUAGCUUGACUGCGAGAGUGACGGCUCGAGCAGGUGCGAAAGCAGGUCAUAGUGAUCCGGUGGUUCUGAAUGGAAGGGCCAUCGCUCAACGGAUAAAAGGUACUCCGGGGAUAACAGGCUGAUACCGCCCAAGAGUUCAUAUCGACGGCGGUGUUUGGCACCUCGAUGUCGGCUCAUCACAUCCUGGGGCUGAAGUAGGUCCCAAGGGUACGGCUGUUCGCCGUUUAAAGUGGUACGCGAGCUGGGUUUAGAACGUCGUGAGACAGUUCGGUCCCUAUCUGCCGUGGGCGCUGGAGAAUUGAGGGGGGCUGCUCCUAGUACGAGAGGACCGGAGUGGACGCAUCACUGGUGUUCGGGUUGUCAUGCCAAUGGCAUUGCCCGGUAGCUAAAUGCGGAAAAGAUAAGUGCUGAAAGCAUCUAAGCACGAAACUUGCCCCGAGAUGAGUUCUCCCUGACUCCCUGAGAGUCCUGAAGGAACGUUGAAGACUACGACGUUGAUAGGUCGGGUGUGUAAGCGUAGCGAUACGUUGAGCUAACCGAUACUAAUGAACCGUGAGGCUUAACCUU